GAGAACGCUGGCGGUCUGCUUAACACAUGCAAGUCGAACGGGGUCCUUUAGGGGACUUAGUGGCGGACGGGUGAGUAACGGCGUGAGAAUCUGGCUCCAGGAUGGGGACAACAGCUGGAAACGGCUGCUAAUACCCGAUGAGCCGAAAGGUAAAAGAUUUAUCGCCUGGAGAUGAGCUCGCGUCCGAUUAGCUAGUUGGUGGGGUAAAAGCCUACCAAGGCGGCGAUCGGUAGCUGGUCUGAGAGGAUGAGCAGCCACACUGGGACUGAGACACGGCCCAGACUCCUACGGGAGGCAGCAGUGGGGAAUUUUCCGCAAUGGGCGAAAGCCCGACGGAGCAAGACCGCGUGGGGGAAGAAGGCUUUUGGGUUGUAAACCCCUUUUAUCAGGGAAGAAAAAAAUGACGGUACCUGAGGAAUAAGCCUCGGCUAACUCCGUGCCAGCAGCCGCGGUAAU
rnacentral:rRNA from 1 species